rnacentral:rRNA from 1 species
GGUGAACGCUGGCGGUAGGCCUAACACAUGCAAGUCGAACGGCAGCACAGUAAGAGCUUGCUCUUACGGGUGGCGAGUGGCGGACGUGUGAGGAAUACAUCGGAAUCUACUUUUUCGUGGGGGAUAACGUAGGGAAACUUACUCUAAUACCGCAUACGACCUACGGGUGAAAGCAGUGGAUCUUCGGACCUUGCGCGAUUGAAUGAGCCGAUGUCGGAUUAGCUAGUUGGCGGGGUAAAGGCCCACCAAGGCGACGAUCCGUAGCUGGUCUGAGAGGAUGAUCAGCCACACUGGAACUGAGACACGGUCCAGACUCCUACGGGAGGCAGCAGUGGGGAAUAUUGGACAGUAGGCGCAAGCCUGAUCCAGCCAUACCGCGUGGGUGAAGAAGGCCUUCGGGUUGUAAAGCCCUUUUGUUGGGAAAGAAAAGCAGCAGGUUAAUACCCCGCUGUUCUGACGGUACCCAAAGAAUAAGCACCGGCUAACUUCGUG